UCCCCAAUAGCUCAGUUGGUUAGAGCGACGGACUGUUAAUCCGUAGGUCGUAGGUUCAAGUCCUACUUGGGGAG
rnacentral:tRNA from 2 species